rnacentral:lncRNA from 1 species
UUUUUUUUUCUUUUUCAGUUUACUUUUUUUUAAAAAAUGGUGUAGAUAUUAUGGAAAGAGCAUGGCAGUUCCUCAAAAAAUUAAAAUUAGCAUUAGCAUACCAUGUACCAAUCCCACUUCUGGGUAUAGAUCCAAAAGAACUGAAAAGAACCUAGAGGGUCUAUUUGCAUACCUAUAUUCAACAUAACAUUAUUCACAAUAGCCAAGAGGUCCAAGGAACUUCAACGUUCACCAACACAUGAAUAGGAUAAGGAAAAUCUGGCACACACAUACCACAGAGUAUUAUUCAGCCUUUAAAAAAGGAGUUGCCACAUGCUAUGAACCUUUAGAACAUUAUGCUAAGUGAAAUAAGGCAGUCACAAAAUGAGAACUACUGCACAAAUCCACUUAUAUGAAGUGUCUAAAGUAGUCAAAUUUUUACAAACAGAAAAUAGAAUGGUGGUUGCCAGAAACUGAGAAGAGGGGAUAAAGGAGCUCUUGUUCAAUGGAUAUAGCGCUUCUGUUUUAUAGGAUGAAAAAGCUCUAUAAUUCUGUUGCACAACAAUGUGCAAAUAAUUAAUGCUUUUGAACUAUAUGUUUAAAAAUGGCUAAGAUAGUAAAUUUAAUGUGUUUUUUACCACAAUAAAAAAAGAUACUACAUACUGAUGAAAAGGUCAAUUCACCAAGAAGACAGAAUUCUAAAUGUAUAUGUACCUAACAACAAACACAUGAACCAAAUAUUGAUAGAACUGAAAGAAGAAAGACAACUCCACAAUCAUAUUUAAGAUUAACAUCAACAUUGCUCUUUCAGUAAUAUAAUUAAUCAAGAAUCAGUAGUGAUAUCAGAGAACAGAACAUCAAUCAACUGUGUUGAAAUGACGUUUUGUAAGACAAUCCUCCAAACAGCAAAAUGUGCAUUCUUUUCUGGUGCCUAUGGAACAAUUACCAAAAAACCAUGCUCUGGGACAAAAAACAACUCUUAAUAAAUUUAAAGGAAAUUAUAUCAUAUAACAUAUGUUCUCAGACCAUAAUGGAAUUAAACUAGAAAUAGAUAUCAAAACUAACAGAAAAAUCUCCAAAUGCCUGGAAAUUAACUUUUAAAUAAUCCAUGAAACAAGGAGGAAGUCUCAGAAGAAAUUAGAAAACAUUCUAGGCUGAAGAAGAAUGAAAAUACAAUGUAUCAAAAUUUGAUGUUACAAAUUUAGUGUUACAGCUAAAGCAGUGCAUGGGGAAAUUUAGAGCACUAAAUGCUUAUAUUAGAAAACAAAAAAAUGGGUGCCUGAGUGGUUCAGUUGGUUACAUGUCUGCCUUUGGCUCAGGUCAUGAUCCCAAGGCCCUGGGAUUGAGGGCCACGUCAAGCUCUCUGCUCCAUGGGGGGAAUCUGCUUCUCCCUCUGCCCCUCCUCCCACUCGUUCGUUCUCUCUCUCUCAAAUAAAUAAAAUCUUUAAAGAAAGAAAAGACGUGAAAUCAAGAAUCUAAACUUUCAACUUAAUAAACUAGAAAAAAAGGAGAAAAAAUACCCAGAGGAAAUAAUAAACAGCACAAGCCAAUAAAACUAAAAACAGAAAAGAUAUAAAAUAAAAGACAAAAGCUGUUUCUGGGGAAGAUCAACAAAACUGAUACACAUCUAGCAAGACUGCCCCCCAAAACAGGUGGGGGAACCACACUAGUCACCGAUAUCUGGAAUAUCAGACACUAUCACUAUGAACCUCAUAGGCAUUAAAAGGUUAGUAAGGUGACUACGACAGUAAAUUUUACACACAUAAAUAUGACAACUUAGAUUAAAUGAAUUUCUCAAAACCACAAUCUACCAAAAUCUACCCAAGAGAUAACAUGAAUA